rnacentral:rRNA from 1 species
GAUGAACGCUGGCGGCGUGCCUAAUACAUGCAAGUCGAGCGAACGGACGAGAAGCUUGCUUCUCUGAUGUUAGCGGCGGACGGGUGAGUAACACGUGGAUAACCUACCUAUAAGACUGGGAUAACUUCGGGAAACCGGAGCUAAUACCGGAUAAUAUUUUGAACCGCAUGGUUCAAAAGUGAAAGACGGUCUUGCUGUCACUUAUAGAUGGAUCCGCGCUGCAUUAGCUAGUUGGUAAGGUAACGGCUUACCAAGGCAACGAUGCAUAGCCGACCUGAGAGGGUGAUCGGCCACACUGGAACUGAGACACGGUCCAGACUCCUACGGGAGGCAGCAGUAGGGAAUCUUCCGCGAUGGGCGAAAGCCUGACGGAGCAACGCCGCGUGAGUGAUGAAGGUCUUCGGAUCGUAAAACUCUGUUAUUAGGGAAGAACAUAUGUGUAAGUAACUGUGCACAUCUUGACGGUACCUAAUCAGAAAGCCACGGCUAGCUACGUGCCAGCAGCCGCGGUAAUACGUAGGUGGCAAGCGUUAUCCGGAAUUAUUGGGCGUAAAGCGCGCGUAGGCGGUUUUUUAAGUCUGAUGUGAAAGCCCACGGCUCAACCGUGGAGGGUCAUUGGAAACUGGAAAACUUGAGUGCAGAAGAGGAAAGUGGAAUUCCAUGUGUAGCGGUGAAAUGCGCAGAGAUAUGGAGGAACACCAGUGGCGAAGGCGACUUUCUGGUCUGUAACUGACGCUGAUGUGCGAAAGCGUGGGGAUCAAACAGGAUUAGAUACCCCGGUAGUCCACGCCGUAAACGAUGAGUGCUAAGUGUUAGGGGGUUUCCGCCCCUUAGUGCUGCAGCUAACGCAUUAAGCACUCCGCCUGGGGAGUACGACCGCAAGGUUGAAACUCAAAGGAAUUGACGGGGACCCGCACAAGCGGUGGAGCAUGUGGUUUAAUUCGAAGCAACGCGAAGAACCUUACCAAAUCUUGACAUCCUUUGACAACUCUAGAGAUAGAGCCUUCCCCUUCGGGGGACAAAGUGACAGGUGGUGCAUGGUUGUCGUCAGCUCGUGUCGUGAGAUGUUGGGUUAAGUCCCGCAACGAGCGCAACCCUUAAGCUUAGUUGCCAUCAUUAAGUUGGGCACUCUAAGUUGACUGCCGGUGACAAACCGGAGGAAGGUGGGGAUGACGUCAAAUCAUCAUGCCCCUUAUGAUUUGGGCUACACACGUGCUACAAUGGACAAUACAAAGGGCAGCGAAACCGCGAGGUCAAGCAAAUCCCAUAAAGUUGUUCUCAGUUCGGAUUGUAGUCUGCAACUCGACUACAUGAAGCUGGAAUCGCUAGUAAUCGUAGAUCAGCAUGCUACGGUGAAUACGUUCCCGGGUCU